UUAAAUUCUAUUUCAAGGGACAACCUUUUAGUUUUUGGUCCAAAUCAAGCUUACACAUUUCCAAAUUUCUUCAUGGUUUUGAACUAUUUAAACAUUACUGCUUUUAAAUCACUUUGUGUAAGCAAAAAUUCUUAUUUUUGUCUCUGACUAGAAAAUGACUCCUGUACCAGAGAGAUUUUAGUUCAUGAAUUCUGGAUCACUACUUUGUGACAUAUCAUAAUGAAUUCAAAGGCAAAUUGAAGGACUCUUGAUGUCUCGAAAGGAAAUUUAUAAGUAUAAAUUCCUAAUGACAAAACGGUUGAACCGCUGUAAAGCAUGGUCCCAAUUUAUUGACCUUGUGUACACCCUUCAGAAAUUUGUCUUGGGAUUCCUUGUUUGCUUUUUUCCCCCCCUCAGUACUAAAGAGAGAACUUGCUUUUCUUUGCUAAUAUAGCUUCAUUAUUGAAUGCCCACGUAUUUGGAGAGUAAGGGAAGAUUGGUUUGGGAAGAGGGUGGUGUCUUCUCUUUAUUUUGUUGAAUGUAAGUGUAUUUUGAUGUUGCUUCAGUAAUCGCGUAAUGUGACAUUGGUUUCUUUUUUUAAGCAAUUCUUUUGGUAAACUAUUUCUUUGAUGCUUGAUCAGAUUUUAAAUGCAUUUUUCAUUUUUAAGAAUUCAUUAUUUUCAGCCCUUCUUACUUCAGGUUUUAGGAAUAGAUGUUUUAAGUCUCAAUACUUGUGAUUCAUCUCAGUUUUUCAUUCAACAUGUUUCCUUGACAUAACACCAGCCAUUGAUUUUAAUAUAGUGAUGAUCUUGAGAAAAAUUUCUUACGGUUGUUUUUCUCAUAAGAAUUCAGAGAUUGAAAAGAUUAUGGCAUUCAAGUAGAUACAACUUAAGUCAUUGAUAUUGGUAAUUAUAUUGGUAGAGUAGGAAGGAACAUGAAAUUAUGAAGUGGACCAUUUUAGCCUUGGUUGACGAGGUAGCCUUAAUCAUGUGAUCAAGUGUGUUUUCUUACAAUUAUAGAAUUUUUUUUGUGUCAACUAUUAAAGACAAACUAAUUUUUUAGGUGACAAACUAGAAUUUUAUGGGUGGCUUUUUUUUGUUUGUUUUGUUUUUGAUCCACACAGUACUUAAGAGUACUGAAAGAGCUACAUUACUCCAUGACAUAUAUUAAUUGGAACAUUUUGUAUUCUUCCUUUGGUUU
rnacentral:lncRNA from 1 species